ACACAGAACUGCCCGGUCCUGCCCGCUGGGGAGUUUCCCUCACUGCAUGAACACGAGAAUUAAAUCUCUGUGGCUUUUCCUUUCCCUGUUCUCUGCCCCCUCCUGUGUCCUGUCCCAGGUGCAGCUGGUCCAGUCCGGCCCGGGGGUGGUGAAGCCGGGAGCGACCCUCAGCAUCACCUGUAAAGUCUCUGAAAUCUCUGUCAGUGAUCACUACUGGAGCUGGAACCGGCAGCCCCCCGGGAAAGGGCUGGAGUGGAUGGGCUUUAUCCGCAGCACGGCACAGGGAGGGACCACAGAGUAUAACUCGGCUCUCAAGCCUCGUGUCACCAUCACCAGGGACACCUCUAAAAACCAGGUUUAUCUCCAGCUCGGCUCGCUGACAGCCACAGACACCGGCACCUAUUACUGCGCCAGGGAAGCCACAGUGACACAGAGCAGAGCAGGGACUGGCACAAAAAGGAGAAGCGAAUUUCGUAAUAAUCAGCCGACAUCAUGUAGGGGAUGAGACAGACAGGCGGGGCAUUGCUGACAGGGGG